rnacentral:rRNA from 1 species
UACGUAGGGUGCGAGCGUUAAUCGGAAUUACUGGGCGUAAAGCGUGCGCAGGCGGUGAUGUAAGACCGAUGUGAAAUCCCCGGGCUUAACCUGGGAACUGCAUUGGUGACUGCAUUGCUCGAGUAUGGCAGAGGGGGUGGAAGUUCCACGUGUAGCAGUGAAAUGCGUAGAGAUGUGGAGGAACACCGAUGGCGAAGGCAGCCCCUGGGCCAAUACUGACGCUCAUGCACGAAAGCGUGGGGAGCAACAGG